AGGUCCUACCAUCGGAAGAGUGCUAACAACAACCAGCCCCCGCGAAGUAAUACCUAACGGGGGUCCCGCGGGGGAGAGUGGUCGAAGAAGCGUUUGGGGUUUUAGAUUUUAGUACGUAAGCGCCAUGGAUGGCGAGUCGAGCGUGCUAAGACCCAGCAGCAUCGUUUGAAGAUUUUCUACCUCCAGCUCGC
rfam:Glossina morsitans morsitans, isolate Yale, WGS project CCAG01000000 data, contig: ctg10019858